rnacentral:rRNA from 1 species
CGUGUAGGCGGAGAUGCAAGUUGGGAGUGAAAUCCCGGGGCUCAACCCCGGAACUGCCUUUGAUACUGGAAGUCUUGAGUAUGGUAGAGGUGAGUGGAAUUCCGAGUGUAGAGGUGAAAUUCGUAGAUAUUCGGAGGAACACCAGUGGCGAAGGCGGCUCACUGGACCAUUACUGACGCUGAGGUGCGAAAGCGUGGGGAGCAAACAGGAUUAGAUACCCCUGUA